CCUUCAGAAUUAGUCAUAUCUACAAGGGAAACAUAUGAGAAUGGCAUUCCUCUUUAUGAUUAAGCCCACAGUAACCACACACAACCAACUUUAUUUUUUGUACAGUUUGCCACCUGUUCCCCAUCAGAAUCACACACACACACCCCCCAAGGAGGUCAAAGAAAGAGCUGGUGGUCAUACCUAGAAGACUCUCAAAGCCUAGAGGAUUAAUUUACUUUCUCAUGUGACAUCAUAGCAAGCAAGGUUAUUUCAGGAGAUGGACCGUGUUGCUCAUACAAAACAAGUGAUUUAUCUUCUUGAAAACAGCAGAAGUUCACAGUCGGAAUUACAGCGAAGAGCAAGCAGAAAAGAAUUCUUGCACUCACAUGGAUGGCACUGCAAAUGCAAGCUGAUGCAGAAUUUCAUACUGCUUCCCUUUCCUCCAUAGUACACUGAGUUUCUACACUGACUAAGAAACAUGGCCUUCUACAUACUGUAAAUUAUGGAAAUCAAUCUACAACUGCUGCAAUGCAACACUAGUCUGACAUCCAGGCAGCACUUUGCCAGCCUCUGGGCUGUAUGUUUAUGGCUUGAAGCGGGUGGCAUGCAGGCAUGAUAAUGGCUACAGAAGCAAUCAAGGAGAAAAUACAUAGGAAGUGAUGGAAUAAUCUAUGACUAUAACACCAGCAUUUAUACGAGGUUCUCUUCAGUAGCAUCAAUCAGCUGCCCUAGCAGAAAAUCCUUACUAUUAUCACCAUCAGCUGCUUGGUUUUCCAAGUGACAACAACAAAAUCAGCCUAGACUUCUUUGUCUUAAACAACAACUACUGAAUCAGCAGGUGGAACUCUGCAGAACUUGGGAGGUAAACAUUAGCUCUAUUCAUGUGAUACCAGAUUGCUGGGAGAAUGGGAUCACACCUGCCUCCCACCCCACCCCAGAGUUCAUGUGUCAUCAGAAGCUUCAAACAGAACCAACAUGUGUGCAAGUAGUACAAGUCUGGAGGACCUGCAUUUUGUCCCCACACCUUCCAUAUCUUCAACAGAACAGAUUUCUGUUAAAGCCAUAGGAGCAGUGACUGAUAAAUGACAUGGCAAUCCUAUGGGCUGUCUUUCAUUAAAUGCCUUUGAGAAAGCACAGGUGGUUAAACUACCGUAUUUUUCGUCCUAUAGGGCGCACCGGCCCAUUGGACGCACCUUGUUUUUU